GAGGAGGUAGUAUAUAUGCUGUACAAUUUGUUUACGCCAAAGAAGUGGUUUUUGCCUCUCCUUU
rnacentral:tRNA from 1 species